rnacentral:rRNA from 1 species
UACGUAGGGGGCAAGCGUUGUCCGGAUUCAUUGGGCGUAAAGCGCGUGUAGGCGGCUUUGCAAGUCGGGUGUGAAAGCCCUCAGCUCAACUGAGGAAGUGCGCCCGAAACUGCAGAGCUUGAGUACCGGAGAGGAUGGUGGAAUUCCCCAAGUAGAGGUGAAAUUCGUAGAUAUGGGGAGGAACACCGGUGGCGAAGGCGACCAUCUGGACGGAUACUGACGCUGAGACGCGAAAGCGUGGGUAGCAAACAGG